GACGAACGCUGGCGGCGUGCUUAACACAUGCAAGUCGAACGGAAAGGCCCUGCUUUUGUGGGGUGCUCGAGUGGCGAACGGGUGAGUAACACGUGAGUAACCUGCCCUUGACUUUGGGAUAACUUCAGGAAACUGGGGCUAAUACCGGAUAGGAGUUCCUGCUGCAUGGUGGGGGUUGGAAAGUUUCGGCGGUUGGGGAUGGACUCGCGGCUUAUCAGCUUGUUGGUGGGGUAGUGGCUUACCAAGGCUUUGACGGGUAGCCGGCCUGAGAGGGUGACCGGCCACAUUGGGACUGAGAUACGGCCCAGACUCCUACGGGAGGCAGCAGUGGGGAAUAUUGCACAAUGGGCGGAAGCCUGAUGCAGCAACGCCGCGUGCGGGAUGACGGCCUUCGGGCUGUAAACCGCUUUCGCCUGUGACGAAGCGUGAGUGACGGUAAUGGGUAAAGAAGCACCGGCUAACUACGUG
rnacentral:rRNA from 1 species